AGAACGAACGCUGGCGGCAGGCUUAACACAUGCAAGUCGAACGCUCCGCAAGGGGAGUGGCAGACGGGUGAGUAACGCGUGGGAACAUACCCCUCGGUUCGGAAUAACUCAGGGAAACUUGAGCUAAUACCGGAUACGGUCGAGAGGCGAAAGAUUUAUCGCCGAGGGAUUGGCCCGCGUCCGAUUAGCUAGUUGGUGAGGUAAUGGCUCACCAAGGCGACGAUCGGUAGCUGGUCUGAGAGGAUGAUCAGCCACAUUGGGACUGAGACACGGCCCAAACUCCUACGGGAGGCAGCAGUGGGGAAUAUUGGACAAUGGGCGAAAGCCUGAUCCAGCCAUGCCGCGUGAGUGAUGACGGCCUUAGGGUUGUAAAGCUCUUUCGUCAGGGACGAUAAUGACGGUACCUGAAGAAGAAGCCCCGGCUAACUUCGUGCCAGCAGCCGC
rnacentral:rRNA from 1 species